CCUACGGGUGGCAGCAGUGGGGAAUAUUGCACAAUGGGCGCAAGCCUGAUGCAGCCAUGCCGCGUGUGUGAAGAAGGCCUUCGGGUUGUAAAGCACUUUCAGCGGGGAGGAAGGCGUUAAGGUUAAUAACCUUGGCGAUUGACGUUACCCGCAGAAGAAGCACCGGCUAACUCCGUGCCAGCAGCCGCGGUAAUACGGAGGGUGCAAGCGUUAAUCGGAAUUACUGGGCGUAAAGCGCACGCAGGCGGUCUGUCAAGUCGGAUGUGAAAUCCCCGGGCUCAACCUGGGAACUGCAUUCGAAACUGGCAGGCUAGAGUCUUGUAGAGGGGGGUAGAAUUCCAGGUGUAGCGAUGAAAUGCGUAGAGAUCUGGAGGAAUACCGGUGGCGAAGGCGGCCCCCUGGACAAAGACUGACGCUCAGGUGCGAAAGCGUGGGGAGCAAACAGGAUUAGAUACCCGGUAGUC
rnacentral:rRNA from 1 species